GUUGGGUUUUAGUUAAGUUUACAAGUUUUAAACUUUCAUCAUAAAUAAUUUAUUUAAAUAUUUUUUUUGUAAUAUAUCCUUUCCAUCAUUCUCAUUUUUCAUAAUUAUCUAUAAAUCAGAAAUUUAUUUUUAUUUUCAUUAUUACAUUAUUGAUAACUCAUAAUAAAUAAAUUAUUAGUAAAUUAAAAUUAUUCAAAUUUUAAAUAAUGUUAAAUUUUAAUUUUUAAUUUUAAACCAUUGACUAUAAUUUUAUUUUAUUUUAAAAACCCGCUGCCUCGAAUUUAGUCGGCCCAUAUAUUCUUCCACGUGUUUGUUUUCCUUUUUGUCAGGACCGACUCAGCAAAAAUAAUAUUACGACGACAUCCAAUUUUAGUGUAGCCCAAUAAAAUACGACAAAACAGUUACAAGCCCACAAUGUUUUAUAACAAAGCCCUUCAAGAGUAAAACCACUCUUAUCAAUGAACAUACUCACCCGGUCCAAAUUAUAAACUCUUGAAAAUAUUUGGGCUUCCUCCGACCCGGUCCACUUAACCACUUCUCCAUCAAGGCAUCAACACUUCCCUGAUCAUCUCCACUAGAAUCACCCUGCUAGCAAUAUUGUUGAAGACAUCGUAGUUGUUGCUUAAUGUCUGGUGUUCCUACUGCUCAAUUCUUUGUUCCGCAAGCGCCGCAAAAUUGAUUGUAUUUCCCUUGAGCUUCUAUUCGGAGUUGCAGGUGUCGUUGUACCUGUUCAACAUACAAGUGAGUACUACUCCAAAAAUUUUAAUGUCGGAGAAGAAAUUUUUGUAUCUGAUAGAUAGUGAGUAUUGCAUACCUCAAGCUGCUCAUGUAGCUGCCUCUGCACUUCAAUUUGCAUUUGUAUUGCUUCACUUAUAUGCGGACUUCAGGGUAAAGACAUCAUAGUAGUUAGGUCACAAUACCAGCAGUAUGUCUGAAAUCGCAUGAUUUAUUUAUUUUUAGAUGGUUCUUACUUUU